rnacentral:rRNA from 1 species
UACAGAGGUGGCAAGCGUUGUUCGGAAUUACUGGGCGUAAAGGGCGCGUAGGCGGCCGUCUAAGUCAGACGUGAAAUCCCCCGGCUUAACCUGGGAACUGCGUCUGAUACUGGAGGGCUUGAGUGCGGGAGAGGGAUGUGGAAUUCCAGGUGUAGCGGUGAAAUGCGUAGAUAUCUGGAGGAACACCGGUGGCGAAGGCGGCAUCCUGGACCAACACUGACGCUGAGGAGCGAAAGCCAGGGGAGCAAACGGG